GCACGUAGUUAGCCGGUGCUUAUUCUUACGGUACCGUCAUUAGCCCACUGUAUUAAAGCAGACCGUUUCGUUCCGUACAAAAGCAGUUUACAACCCGAAGGCCUUCUUCCUGCACGCGGCAUUGCUGGAUCAGGCUUUCGCCCAUUGUCCAAAAUUCCCCA
rnacentral:rRNA from 1 species